ensembl:rRNA 5S_rRNA 5S ribosomal RNA
GCCUACGGCCAUACCACCCUGAGAACGUCCGAUCUCGUCUGAUCUCGGAAGCUAAGCAGGGUCGGGCCUGGUUAGUACUCGGAUGGGAGACCGCCUGGGAAUACCAGGUGCUGUAAACU